UCUGUCUCGACUAGCCACUCACCCUGCUAGCCUCCGCCACCGCCAUUGCUAGCCUCCACCACCGCUGAUUUGGACGGAUUCGCUCUGUUUUCGCUCAAAAUAUACUCGCCGGAAGAAGUAGAACCUGAGAUUCAAGCUUAUAGCCGACAGACAUCACCUGCCUAAAAUUCCAGCACCAAAAAGAGGUGAUAUUGUUAAGCAGAUUGGUGAUGCACUUAGAGCAAAACUUCACUACUUUGGCCGACUUGUUUCACUUGAAAUGGGGAAAAUACUACCCGAAGGAAUUGGGGAGGUUCAACAAAUUAUUGACAUGUGUGACUUCGCUGUUGGUUUGAGCUGGCAACUAAAUGGAUCAGUCAUACCAUUAGAACGUGAGUCCACUCUUCUUCACCUGCUUAUAUCUGAUUUCUUUUUAAAUGCUCUAGGAGUUAUAUUUGUGAGGAUAUCUUUCUUUUCCUUGUUGUCUCUUCUCUAGAUUAAUUAGCUCUACUUGGUUUUAAGAUAAGGUAGAAGUGAAUCAGAUACAAUCAGAAAAUUUAUGAUCUGGAUAUUGAUAUGUUGCUUCUUCUGGAUUUUUGGGCUUCUUUGCAAUGUUUUUUCAGAAGUUCAAUUUAA